GAGAAGCUGUAAUGGGGAAAGACAAUUCCACUCUCAAUUUAAUAACUGAAUACGCCAUAAUAAUGAUGCCAUUAUAAGUAGAAUUUUGUCGGCCGCUUGGCACGCAUCGAGCGUGACGUACUGCGUGCUCUCCAAUGACUGUUCGGCGGAGGGAUCCCCAGACUGCCUUUCAAUGUAGACAAAACAGUGUCGCAUUAAACGAUAUCGCAUAAAUACGGAUAUUUUUUUUCUCACAAUGAUUUAAUCUCAGACAUUCGGAGAGUCGCAUAAGCAAUGGCGGAAAGUUCCUGCAAAUUUAAUUUUGAUAAAAACAAUUUUUUAAAUAUACUUUAUAAUAUCGCAUUUGCCUAUAAAUAUAAUACAAGAGAAAACCAUAAAAAUAAUUUAGGGGAAAAGUGUUGAAAGACAGAGAGAGAUUUUCCGCUUGGGAAGAGGGAUUUUCCAAAAUGAACCAAGGAGAAAAGAGAAAAGAAAAAUGUUAAAAGAGUAUUAUAUGACUUGACUAUGUGUAAAACUGCGAAAAAAUUUUUAUUUGUACACUAAAAAUGACUGAAAACAAUGUACUGAAAUGUUUGUGCAUUUAUUUAAUAAAUUAUUGUAAUAGCAAACUCUAAA